ensembl:lncRNA uncharacterized LOC110081181
AAGGCACCACAGGACUUUGCUUUGUUUGAUCACCCUUGGCAAGUAUCCCAUGAUCGUACCAUUCUCUAACCUAACAGAAUCUUGCACCAUGUAUAAAGUCACUUACUACCUAAUGUAGCAUCUACAACCUCACAGAGGAAGGCUUGAAGGCAGUAACAGGACAGCUGCUGGUGGGACAGAGCAGAUUGUCUCCACUAUCACCUCAUUACCUCUGGAACACCCUUUUGAAGGAGUGACCCAGGGUGGUGUAAUAUUCAAACUGGAAACUUAUAAUAAAAUGAAUGACAUGAAAAUGUGCCUGAUACUUGAGUAAAUGUGAUGACACUGCAUGGCACCAUCUCCUAUCACUGGGUAUCAGGACCCCACCCUGUGUGUUAACAGCUUAAAAUACCCAUGGUUUAUCUGGGCUCUCCUCUCCCCUUAAAUGCUAGCAGAGGCUCUCGGCGCCCUUCUGCUGCAACCAGGUGUGCCUUUUCCCCUUUGAUUGACACAAGAGCUGUGGGAGAUAUAAAAGGUCAUGGAUAGCACAAGGCUGGCUAGUCCUCCUUCCUGCCUCAGUAAGUGGGUGCUCAAGGUUUGGUGGCUGGCUGAGAGACCCAUAGAAGCUUUUAGAAUGUUCAUCUCCCCCAAAUUUUACAGAGGGCUGGGCCAGCUUGAAGCCUACAUUGGUGUGGAGGAAGGAGUGGCCUUCAAAAUGGACAACCACCAAUUCUGGGACACAAUGACUGCUGGCUAUCAAUGGACCAUAAUGGGUGUAUCUGUAAAGAGAGACUCAAGCAAGUUUUGGGUAGUCCCUUUACCUUCAAGAAAAGUGAUGCUGAGAAACAGGCGUGGUAUGAACCUGGCUCCAGUGGAGAUAAGAACAGACCCCAGAACCUUUCCUGUUGUACCAGUCCCAUAUUCAGAAGAUCCGAAUCUAAAGUUUAGGGUCUACUACAAAGGUAAUAAGGUGGCUUUCCAGGCCCAUAAUGGUCUUUUCCUGGGCCGAGUAUGUAAAGAUUUUUGUAGACGGAUCAAUGCAUUGGAAGCAUCCAUGUUCUUCCCAGAUGACACCUGUUUUUUCCAGCCCGUGAUUGGGGACGUCCUUCUUCCUACCUUUAAAAUACUGAAUGUGAUUCCAAGGGGAAUUUCUCAGUUGGACUACUCCUCCCAUCUCAUUGAGACACGUGUUUUUAUCAACAGGGGAGAGGAACCCGUAGAACACACUUUCAACAUGACUUAUAGUGCCCGUAGUAUUGACAAAGUUUUCUGGAACAAUUUGUGGGGGCUUGGUUUGCCUUCAUUAUGUGCUUUCAAAGUUGACAGUGCAAGUCCAUCUGUGAUGUACAAUGUGAACAAUGACCACAUUGUCCCUCUUGUGAGGACAAUUUCUGAAGAGGUCCCAGAACAAGUGAUGGUACCCCCAAAAUCUGAAGUCAAAGCCUGCCUUUAUGCUGACAGGCAACGUUAUGCUGCUCUGCCUUUCAUAGCCACCAUCCAAAAAGUGAAACCUGAUGGCACCAUAGAGAUUUUCAGGGAAGCUGGGGCCUGGAAGGGGCUUGCCUAUCGUAACCUCAGAGUGGAGCACAGUGUUGUAAAGCUUUGAGCUGUAGAUGGCUAUGUGAUGCUCAUGGAACUAAUGGCCUUGUAAGGGGGACUGUGUGCCAGAUCAUAAACAGCCUACCCCCGAGGUUGUGGGGGUUUCUCCAUAAUCUCUGUCUGUUCCUUGUAGGACUGUAAUGCUUCGGAGACCAGUUUCUUCCUGACCAGGGCAGGUGAAGGCUUUGCCCUGGGGCAUCGUAGCAGUUCUUUUAAAAAAAAUUACAGGUGCCUGAAAAAAAGACAAUGAUGGCUACCUUUUUAUAGCAAGAGGGCGAGAAGCCUCACCUUGCAGCACUGUGUAGAGAACAUAAAUAAAAUUGUAAUGCCUUGUUUUUUAAAAAAAACA